UACGAAGGGGGCUAGCGUUGCUCGGAAUCACUGGGCGUAAAGCGCACGUAGGCGGACUCUUAAGUCGGUGGUGAAAUCCUGGAGCUCAACUCCAGAACUGCCUCCGAUACUGGGAGCCUUCGAGUCCGGGAGAGGUGAGUGGAACUGCGAGUGUAGAGGUGAAAUUCGUAGAUAUUCGCAAGAACACCAGUGGCGAAGGCGACUACCUGGCCUGUUUCUUGACGCUGAGGCGCGAAAGCUAGGGGAGCAAACGGG
rnacentral:rRNA from 1 species